GUAGGCGCCAUCUUGCCAUGGCGAAUUUCUCUCCAGCUUCACCGCUCCCCACAAUUAAGGCUGGGCUGAAAGAUGUGUGGCUGCUGAGGGAGGGAUCUUCCCCACUGGCCAAGCUGUCUCGAACCCCUGCGCCCCCCCCCCCACCUGCCCCUCCUUGUUAGCCCAGCUGCCCCAACAGGCCCUGGUAGCCGAAGGUCUUCUCCAUGGCUUUGCAGGAAAAUAAAGUUUUAAUUCGCUACUCCCGCCUCACUGCGAGAAACAGGGAGUGACUCAGCAUGACCUGUCCUAAUCAUUUUGGCUGCAACAGGACCUACAAGACCUAGUCGAACCCUUGCCUGCCCAGCAACUGCUAAAGUAGAAUAAUCUCAUAGUCCCCAUCAGAUCACCCCAUACCCCUCGUCAUCUGCUCUAUAUAAAAUGAGAGACUGGUGCAAUAAAGUGAGUUCCUACUUCGACAAGA